rnacentral:tRNA from 1 species
AGUCUUAUAUUCAAUUAUGAUUUGAAAUUGCAAAUUUUAAGGUGUAUAAUAAAAAUUACUAAGGCUU